AUGUUUCAGGGACUGAACACUGAGGCAUCUAAAUUGCGUAUCCCUGCUCAGCUUCCAGAAAGUGACUUGAGUGAUUUAAUGUUGUCAUCUGCCCAGGUAACAUCCCACAAGCAGCAUGACCAGAAAGGACAAGCAAUUUCUCUUUUGGAAUUUCAACUCAAACAUCCCAGGGGAAGAGUUUUACUGGCCCUGAUUGGGUCAUCUGACCACCUACUUGGAUCUAUCACCAUGGCCAGAAAAAAAUGGAUGUUCUGAUUGGCCUUGCCCACUCUGUGACAUAGAGAUUGAAACUCACCAAAGAAUCAGAGAUGGCCACUGGAAGAACUUUUCUAAGUUGGGCAGAUGCCAUGAUAUGUGCCUUUUUCAUGAAUUCUGAUGCUGAUGUAAAGCACAGAAGUUGAGGUGAGGCAUUGGACUUUAACUCAUCAAGAUCAUUGGGCUUGUGUGACAUCAAAUAGUGAAUGCUGUGUCAUAAAUUCUUUUCAUUCAUUCAUUCAUUCAUUUAUUUAUUCAUUCAUAUCUUCAUGCAGUGUUUAUUAAGGCUCUGAUACAUAGAAGGCCCUGUCUGAGAUGCAGAAAUCCUUUUAAUUGUGGGGAACAUGGUAAGCCCUCAGAAACUACAACUGAAUCACUGUCAUAUUCUUUCUUGUGACUCAGAAAUUCCUUUUUUCUGGGCAAGAAAUUGUCCAGCUUGACUUCACCUUAGCCUCAUGACUCAGUCUAAUCUGUGCCAUCACCAGAAUAAUAAUUUUAUUAUUCUUAGAUUCCAUUAUUGGGAAAGAGAAAGAUUCUUGUCAAUAUGAGAAUUAAAAUAAAACCAUGUAUUAUUUACUGGCUCUUUAUCA
rnacentral:lncRNA from 12 species